CAAAUGCGUUUUAUGUCCACCGGAGGGAGCCCUAUCCAUUGACUAGUUCUCUCCAACUAGUCAAUGGAUUUUGACCAACCGUGACGCAUUAUUUGUAUUUUUGAAAGCAGGGGAUUUGUAGUCAAUAAGUAGUUGUGAUUGCUAAAUCGGAUCUGACGUUGGACUUCGAAAGGCCAUGUGCUGCACAACAACAGUGCUCGACCGAAAGCUUGUCUGCAGAAGCAGGAAGUCCCCAAAUGGAGGCACUGUUGAAAUCAAGAAGCUGACUCCUCAGAAAUGGAAAAGGGAGAGGAGGAAUCAGGGCUCGAACCCUCAACCUCAGCAUUCAAACCCCAUGUCAAUGCCACCACACCACCAUCAUGUCUGGGUUCUCAGUUGGUAAUUUCCAGUGCUCUACAGAGACAUUAUCAAUCGAAUGAGACUUACAGAUGAAGAGAGUCAAAAGGAGAGAGCUGGGCUCGAACUCUGUACCUCUGUAGCCAGAGGCGGAGACACUACCAUUAAGCCACGGUGGGAUUAACGAGUUUGGCGGUGAUUUUUUGGAUAGAAGAAGAUGAGCCCAGAGGGACAAAAAUAGGGAAGAGCUCUGAAUUAACCGAAUAACUCCGCAUCCAAAGACGACAAUUUUCACGACACAAUUAUCUUUGAUAUGGUUUUGGAGUCUCUGUGGGAGGAGGGGGCAGGGUUCAGGGUUCAGGGGGUGGGGGGAAAGGAGAGGGAGGGAAAUUGAACUUGCAUCCUUCUGCUUUGUGGAGCGAGGUCCUGUUCCCUGCACCACAGAGCUCAUCAAGGUUUAUACAGACAUAAACAGGAAGAGGUCAGCCUUGAGUCACAGAUCCAGAGCAGGUGCUCUCCCUCUUGAGCAGACAGGCAAGGCCAGACAAGAGAAGUCAUCAUGCUUAUAACUUUAACACAAACACUUUCAUUAAAAACUCGAAUAUGUGUUUGCAUUCUUCUAGCUAAGGAAUGCUUGUGCUGUUGUUAUUUGUGUAUUGAACAAGUGAUUUGAAGUCCCAUCCAAUCAGAUGAUCUAAUUACUGGGGUAAAGGUGCGCCUGCAGGUAAUUAGUUGGUUUAAAAUGAUGCCUUUGAAUGUUUUCCUUCACCGUGAUUAAAAUGAGAUGGUUAAGCUAGCCGGUACUACAUUUCUGAGAACACUGAUCUCCUCUGCUUUCAUGAAGUGCUGUGGAUGUGUGCUGGGGACAGGGCUUGUAAAUGCACAUUAUUUUUAUUUAAUGAAAGAACUCAGUGUAUGUUCUGCAGUUUCAUUAAUCUUUGGAAGAUGUGCUGUCAUUGCUCAAUAAAAAAUACACAAUAAGAACAGUUUUAAUUUCAGUAGAUAUUUAUUAUUUUGAAUUGUGCGCAGCAUUAAAAAUCUUCAUACAAAAAAUAUUUUUGAUCAUAACGAAGGAGUGCAGAACUUUUUAAACCAGACUUGCUCUGCUGUAAUGCCAUUUUUUUCCAGCAGAGGGAAGCAAGCCCUUCACCUGUAGCUCCCUGCACCAAUUCCACUCCAACGAUUUCAACACAAGCAUGUUUGGACUCCCCUGUAGAAGAAAGAGAAGUCCUAAUUCUGAAACACCUUUCAAUAACGUCUCUUUUCUGUAUUUUUACAUAUUAUAUUAACAUGUUCAACGGUCUCAGGCAUGCCACACUCCCACAUAGCCUAUCUGUGGUUUCCUACCACCUAUAAACAUCGACUUAACCCACAGUGCCCCAACCUUAAUCUUUUCUUUUUUUUUUUUUUUUUUUACUAUGUUGAUCCUUUUUUACAACAUAAAGAUAUACAAACAACAUCUAGUUAACUGCUUCCGAUGACCUUUCCCACGUGCAGAUUUAGAAAGCAGAAAUAAUACUUGUAUGUCCGUCAGUAAUUCUAAAGACUGAGCAAAAAAUGUGUGUCUUAAUCCAGUAAUGUUUUCUCAGAUUUAUACUUUACCAUAAUGAAUAUAAUAAAGGUGG